rnacentral:rRNA from 1 species
UACGUAGGGUGCAAGCGUUGUCCGGAAUUAUUGGUCGUAAAGAGCUCGUAGGCGGUUUGUUGCGUCGGCUGUGAAAUCCCGAGGCUCAACCUCGGGUCUGCAGUCGAUACGAGCAAACUAGAGUGUUGCAGGGGAGACUGGAAUUCCUGGUGUAGCGGUGAAAUGCGCAGAUAUCAGGAGGAACACCGGUGGCGAAGGCGGGUCUCUGGGCAACAACUGACGCUGAGGAGCGAAAGCGUGGGGAGCGAACAGG